rnacentral:rRNA from 1 species
UGCGCAGGCGGCCCUGUAGGUGGGUGGUGAAAUCUCCCGGCUUACCUGGGAGGGUGCCACGCACACCAUGGGGCUUGAGGCUCGGGGAGGGGCGUGGAAUUCCGGGUGGAGCGGUGAAAUGCGUAGAGAUCCGGAGGAACACCGACGGCGUAAGCAACGCCCUAAACGAGCCCUGACGCUCAGGCACGAAAGCUGGGGGAGCAAACAGGAUUAGAUACCCUGGUAGUCCCAGCCCUAAACGAUGUCCACCAGGUGCCGCGGGUAUCGACCCUGCGGUGCCGCAGCUCACGUGAUGAGUGGACCGCCUGGGGAGUACGGCCGCAAGGUUGAA